GACGGAAAUACAUCACUAAAUUUGUUGACGCACAAACAACAGUACGACUCUGGAAAGAACGUUCCAGGCACACGUAGGGCAACAAACCAAUUUAAAGGGACACUGUAAGCACCAGAACCACUACAGCUUAAUGGAGAAGCAUUUGAUUGCUUCAUCUGUAAAGAUAAUUUUAGCAGGAGAGAAUUGGCAUCCGCGGUGAAAACAGAAACCGUCACAUUAUGGAACUUAAGCUAAGACAAUCUUAUUUCUUUUGAAAUUUAAAGUUUUUUUUAGGGUAGGGGGGAUGGGGAUAAAUCUAAAUAGUGAGAAAAAUGUUUGACUCCUAAAUGUUAGAGUGUUUCUUUAAGUACAUUUUAUAGGUUUUGGCCUCAUAUUAAUGUUAAUGUAUAUCUGGUGGGGAGUUUCUUGGAUGGCACAAUUGUAGGGUCACAUUAUAUUCUGGCAGAGUAGUUAAAGGUAUAGUCUAAUCCCAGUAUAAAUGUAAGAACCAGUAUUUAUUUAGAUGAAUGUGAAACACUACUACUGUAAUAAAAAAACAAAACGAAAAAAAACAAACUCUUGUUUGAUAUGAAAUCAGUACUUGGGAUACAUUAAGGAAUCUAUCAAUCAUUGCUACAUUGAUAUCAUUCAUUGCACAUUGAUUGGGUGAGUGACUGUUAAUAGAAUGCACAUUUUGCAUGCUUGACACUGUAGCAUUGACUUUCCCUGCACAACACAAAACCGUUUAUGACAUCAUUUAUAUCCACUGAUAUGACACCAAAAGUAGUCAUAGCAACAUCAGAAGGCUCAACUAGAGUUGUCUUGUUUACAGCUGGUGUCAAGGGCCAAGGAGGACAACCUAAAACCAGGCUAGAUGAAAUGUUUAAAAACACCAAUCUGAGGGUCCUACAGAUUCAUCAAAAUCUGGGCCAAAGAGAGACUGGAGGAUCAAGAAGAAGGGGAAGGAUAUUACGUGGAUCCAUUUUCAAGAUGGUCUGAUAUAUGAAGAGCUUAAGUGUGUUCAGGAUGCAGUAAAGAUUAAUAAGAGAAGGUAAGGAAAGUGCAUUGUGGGUAUUUCCCACCUUCUUAAUUAAGAAAAUAAUGCAGACUUUCCUUACUGCCUUGCUAUAUGGAGAAUAUAAUUAUAUAGAAUUAUGUAUGUGUGUAUAGUGAAUACUGUUUAUAUAGUAAAUAUGUAUAAAGUUAAUCUACAGUGUAUAUAUAUAUUUAUAAAAUAUAAAGUGUAUAAAUACCUAAAGUCAAUAGUGUUAAAAGUGUAUAUAUGUGUGUUUAAGAAAUAUUUAUAUAGUGUAGAGUAUAUAGUGCAUUUAUGUAUUUUGAUUGUAUAUAAAGUUUAAAGUCUGCCAAAUUCAGAGUAGGGUUUGAGGGGUGAAUAACUUUUUUUAUGAAUGAACCAAUUUCAAUGAUAUUACAAACAAUGAAUGCUCUGCGUAUGAAGAUUUGCCUGACUAUGUACGGAAGAUGACAUCUUUUAAAUCAGUUCCAUUUACCGCCUCGCAAAGUCGGACGCUUUCGAUUGCAUUGUUCAUAACAAAAGCUAAUGUUUGAGGCUCGAAUUUAUGCACAAAUAUUCUCCUUGAUCUGCUCAAGUGUACGUGGUUUGUUUAUAUACAUCAAAAACUUCAGAUAUCCACCCAGGAAGUACUUAGGAGCUCAAAAGAUGGACAAACGUGGCAGCUUACAUUGAAGUGCCGGUGGUAAGCUCUUUGCGUUAAAAUAAUGGACCUGCCAUUUUGAGAUUUCAAUUCCACUACUUUUACUCAUUCUAACUCCAUGAAAUUACCCACGAUGAAUUUACAAAGACUCAGUUAUAAUAUGUACCUGCAACUGAAAAAUUCAACUACUAACAAGUUAUUUACCUGUCAAAUCCUACUCUUAAUAUUGGCCCACCCUUUACAUUAUACAUAACGUAACUAUUAAAUGUAGUAUAUAUAUAUUGUAUAUUCAGUGUAUACCUCUAUACAUUGCAGAUUGUAUAUAGAAUAUACCGGAUAUAUGGUGUAUAUAUGUAUAUAGUGCAUGUAGAGUGUAUAAUGCAUUGCAUCAUAACAAGUAUAUAUAGCGUAUGUAACUAUUGAAUGUAGUAUAUAUAUAUUUUAUAUUUGGUGUAUACCUCUAUACAUUGCAGAUUGUAUAUAGAAUACACAAGAUAUAUGGUGUAUAUAUGUAUGUAGUGCAUGUAGAGUGUUAAGGACAUUUAAGCAUAACAAGUACAUAUAGGGUAUAUAACUAUUGAAUGGAGUAUAUAUAUAUAUAUAUAUAUAUAUAUAUAUAUAUAUAUAUUGUAUAUUGUAUAUUCGGUGUAUACCUGUGUACAUUGCAGAUUGUAUAUAGAAUACACAGGAUAUAUGGUGUAUAUAUGUACAGAUAUAUAUAGUGUAUGUAGAGUGUAUAAUGCAUUUAAGCAUAACAAGUAUAUAUAGCGUAUGUAACUAUUGAAUGUAGUAUGUAUAUAUAUAUAUAUAUUGUAUAUUCGGUGUAUACCUGUGUACAUUGCAGAUUGUAUAUAGAAUACACAGGAUAUAUGGUGUAUAUAUGUGUAAAGUGCAUGUAGAGUGUAAUAUGCAUUUCAGCAUAACAAGUACAUAUAGAGUAUAUAACUAUGGAAUGUAGUGUAUAUAUAUAUUGUAUAUUCGGUGUAUACCUGUGUACAUUGCAUAUUGUAUAUAGAAUACACAGGAUAUAUGUUGUAUAUAUGUAUGUUCUGCAUGUAGAGUGUAUAGGACAUUUAAGCAUAACAAGUAUAUAUAGAGUAUAUAACUAUUGAAUGUAGUAUAUAUAUAUUGUAUGUUAGGUGUAUACCUUUGUACAUUUCAUAUUGUAUAUAGAAUACACAGGAUAUAUGGUGUAUAUAUGUACAGAUGUAUAUAGUGUAUGUAGAGUGUAUAAUGCAUUUAAGCAUAACAAGUAUAUAUAGCGUAUGUAACUAUUGAAUGUAGUAUGUAUAUAUAUUGUAUAUUCGGUGUAUACCUGUGUACAUUGCAGAUUGUAUAUAGAAUACACAGGAUAUAUGGUGUAUAUAUGUAUAGAUGCAUAUUGUGUAUGUAGAGUGUAUAGUGCAUUUAAGCAUAACAAGUAUAAAUAGCGUAUGUAACUAUUGAAUGUAGUAUAUAUAUUGUAUAUUCGGUGUAUACCUGUGUACAUUGCAGAUUGUAUAUAGAAUACACAGGAUGUAUGGUGUGUAUAUGUAUGUAGUGCAUGUAGAGUGUAUAGUGCAUUUAAGAAUAACAAGUGUAUAUAUAGAGUAUUUAACUAUUGAAUGUAGUAUAUAUAUUGUAUAUUCGGUGUAUACCUGUGUACAUUGCAGAUUGUAUAUAGAAUACACAGGAUAUAUGUUGAAUAUAUGUAUGUAGUGCAUGUAGAGUGUAUAGGACAUUUAAGCAUAACAAGUAUAUAUAGAGUAUAUAACUAUUGAAUGUAGUAUAUAUAUUGUAUGUUAGGUGUAUACCUUUGUACAUUGCAGAUUGUAUAUAGAAUACACAGGAUAUAUGGUGUAUAUAUGUACAGAUAUAUAUAGUGUAUGUAGAGUGUUUAAUGCAUUAUAACAUAACAAGUAUAUAUAGCGUAUGUAACUAUUGAAUGUAGUAUGUAUAUAUAUUGUAUAUUCGGUGUAUACCUGUGUACAUAGCAGAUUGUAUAUAGAAUACACAGGAUAUAUGGUGUAUAUAUGUGUAAAGUGCAUAUAGAGUGUAUUGUGCAUUUAAGCAUAACAAGUAUAUAUAGCGUAUGUAACUAUUGAAUGUAGUAUAUAUAUAUUGUAUAUUCGGUGUAUACCUGUGUACAUUGCAGAUUGUAUAUAGAAUACACAGGAUAUAUGGUGUAUAUAGGUAUAGAUGUAUAUCGUGUAUGUAGAGUGUAUAGUGCAUUUAAACAUAACAAGUAUAUAUAGCGUAUAUAACUAUUGAAUGUAGUAUAUAUAUUGUAUAUUCGGCGUAUACCUGUGUACAUUGCAGAUUGUAUAUAGAAUACACAGGAUAUAUAGUGUAUAUAUGUGGAAAGUGCAUUUAAGCAUAACAGGUAUACAUAGAGUAUUUUAUCUACAUAUACAUAUAGAGUAUAGAGUACAUACAAUGCAUAGAGCUUGUGUAGAGUUUUGAUAUCGAGUAUAUGACUAGAGUAAAUCAUUAGCAUAUAAGAUUUAUAUAUUAAAUAUGUAUACAGUGUGUAUGUGUAAACAGUAUUUAUAAUAUAGUGUUGCAUAGUUACAUAAUACGUAUUAUGUGCACAGUUACGGUAAGCAUAUAAUGCAUAUAGAUAGAUAGACAUAUUUUCCAUGAUAGCAAAGAGCAAUUUGUUUUUUUUUAAUUCUUUUCAAUUAGGGAUACAUUUUGGUGAAUGGAAUGGAGAUUUCAUAUCCAAACAACUGGACAACUGAAGAGAAAAAGGAGAAAAAAUAAAAGCCAGGAUGUGAGGAAAUAAAUUACAAAUGGAUCAGCAAUACCAGAAGGAGCCACCAGAACCACAGCCAAAGAAAAUCUCGCAAAAUAAAGGACUCCACUACAGCUUUAAAUGGACGGAAAUACAUCACUAAAUUUGUGGACGCACAAACAACAGUACGACUCUGGAAAGAACGUUCCAGGCACACGUAGGGCAACAAACCAAUUUAAAGGGACACUGUAAGCACCAGAACCACUACAGCUUAAUGGAGAAGCAUUUGAUUGCUUCAUCUGUAAAGAUAAUUUUAGCCGGAGAGAAUUGGCAUCCGCGGUGAAAACAGAAACCGUCACAUUAUGGAACUAAAGCUAAGACAAUCUAAUUUCUUUUGAAAUUUAAAGUUUUUUUUUAGGGUAGGGGGGAUAGGGAUAAAUCUAAAUAGUGAGAAAAAUAUUUGUCUCCUUAAUGUUAGAGUGUUUAUCUAAGUACAUUUUAUAGGUUUUGACCUCAUAUUAAUGUUAAUGUAUAUCUGAUGGGGAGUUUCUUGGAUGGCAACAUUGUAGGGUCACAUUAUAUUCUGGCAGAGUAUUUAAAGGUAUAGUCUAUUCCCAGUAUAAAUGUAAGAACCAGUAUUUAUUUAGAUGAAUGUGAAACACUACUACUGUAGUAAAAAAUAAAAAAACAAAACGAAAAAAAAAAACUCUUGUUUGAUAUGAAAUCAGUACUUGGGAUACAUUUAGGAAUCUAUCAAUCAAUGCUACAUUGAUAUCAUUCACUGCAGAUUGAUUGGGUGAGUGACUGUUAAUAGAAUGCACAUUUUGCAUGCUUGACACAGGCCCAGAGGAGGCGGGCUGAAAGCUAGCCGGAUAGGAGGCAUGUGUGGGUGUGGUGAGUGUAGGUGUCAUAAGUGGGGGUGUCACUUAGGUUAGGGGUGGGGUGGGGUCAUAUAAAGAGCAGUCAUUUUGUCCCCUUACCUCAGCCAUCUUAGAAAUAACGGCUGGUAACAUCUUCCCUCCCUCCCACCCUUUGCUGUUUGUUUUCACUGCGUAUUACUAAUUCUCUUUCUUGUCACAGCUGGCGGGUAUGGUCCUUGCCGAACCAGUUGGGAAAGGAGUACACUGGAAGAAGGAAUGCUGGGUCUGGUCCCUCCCCUAACCUCGGAAAAUAUUUGGUAAUUGGGCGUGCCCUCCGUGCCAGGAAAGGCGGCCAGGGGUUGGCAUGGGGUAUUGGAAGGCCAAGGUGUAGGCCAGUUAUUUCGGACGAGGGGGGAGGGCAGGCCCCCAAAAGGGGGUACUCUAGAGUUGUUUGGUCCGGUUGGCAAGGACGAGUUUCAGUUAAUUAAAGGAUAGUUAAUAUUGAUAUAUUUGUGGCAAACCUAGCCACUUGGACAAUAACUAGAGACUGUGCCUUUAAGGGUUGCCUACAGGUCUGGGGAGAUAUGCGCUUUAUUCUUAUGUAUGUGCUUGAUGUAUUUUCUGUGGAGACUGUAAUUACCUGUUUCGCCGAAUGCCAAUGGCGGUUUGUAUGGGGAUUCCCGUUCGUUUCGCGAACGGCACUUUGGAGGGCCGUUUGUUUCAAGCGAACGCGAUACCCCCUAAUAGCCCACACACUUAGAGGCGUGUGGCGCUAGUUAACCGAUUGCAACAAUGUUGCAAUCGGUAAUUAGAGGCUCUCCUGGGUGGCCGUCGUUCGACUACCGACCAUGCGGCGGUCGGCCAUCUUGGAUCCCUUGUUCUUCAGCGGGUCCGUGUUGUCGAACGCAUAGCAUUACCAAUAGUUAUUCGACGGCACGAACACCGCUGAGCCUCCAGGACGUUCGGGAGUUUCAGGACCAGGUUCACUAAAAGUAAUCGGUUCUUUUCGUGUGUUUUGAAAGAAAUGUGUUUUCUGUGCGGCGUUCGGUUAUUUUAGCUGGGAUCUGAGCGGCAAUCUCACGAAUGAUGCGCCCAGACCCCAGCUAUCUACCGAACGUCCAUUCGUGUAAAUCCACCGUGUAUUGUAAAAGUUGUAGAUUUUUGUGUGAAUUGCCGGUUCUGCUGCACGAGGGGAUAAUCCCCUUAACGGUGCAUUCUGGGAGGAUGAUCCCUCUCGUGCAGCGGUGCCUGAUGGGAGAAAUAUGUUGUACUGUAAGUCCCCCAUGUAGUCCCCUCUGGGAGUGCCCCUGGGGAGGGACUCAGGAAACCCCUUGCAUGGGGACUUGUAUAAAUUGUCGUGCCGAUUAAAGGAUUUCAGUUGACUCCCAAAACUGUGUCUCGUCCGGUUAUUGGGAGGUUGGGGAUAUUGCCUUGGUGUUUUCAGCGCUUGACUGUGGAUUUGUUUCUGGACCAGCGGAAUUCGUGGAUUUAAUAUUGGCAUUCCGCUACAAUUGGUGGCAAGCGACGGGAUCCAACUCUACAGCCGAAUACAGCGCAUUCGAAUGAAAGGAACAACCGAACGGAAAGGCAAUUCGUAUGAAACAAGCAGACGAAAGCGAUCAGUGAAUGGGGACUGAUUACACGGCGUUAAAGAGACAGACGCUAAAGGAACUGCUGGAGGCUAGAGGGAAAAGCGCUAGCAACAAAUCGAAGGCAGUACUGAUUGCAGAGCUAAUGGAGGGCGACCAGGCACACAGCAGUCCACCCCCACCUGCCAGAGAGGAAACACCAUACCAGAGGGAACUGAGAACCCGGCUGGAAUUUGUACCACAGCCAGUAACCCUGGACAUCUUAACCGUGCUAAUGGCCGACGUCCAGGACUACAUUAUGGCACAGCAACCCCAGAGGUCACCAUCCAGGGCGGAAUCCAUCGUCAACUCAUUCUGCCCUCCAACAAAGCAGAAAAUACCGUACCAGGCAUUUAAAGCAUUCUGCGAGGAGAAGGAUGAGAUAGACGGAUAUCUGCAGGAUUUCGAGAGGCUAUGCGACCUGCACGAUCUGGAACCGGCAAUGUGGGUACCCUUACUGGCAGGCAAGUUGGCGGGACGAGCAGCAGAGGCUUACCGCGCUGUGCCCAGAGAGGACAGCAAAGACUACUUUAAAGUAAAAAGAGCAAUCCUAGAAAGAUAUGCCAUAACCCCAGAGGCAUACCGACGGAAAUUUCGGGGAUUGAAAAAGCCCGAAAGAGAUUCCCACGCAGAAUGGGCGCAUAAGCUGGACCAAGCUUCACAAGGGUGGAUUCAGGCAAGUCAAGCCACCACCAUGGAGGAACUGCGCCAACUCAUCUUGCUGGAGCAAUUCUUCAACGGUCUGUCACCAGAGGCACAGGAGUGGGUAAGGGACCGAAAACCUCUCAACCUCACAGCAGCCGCCCGAUUGGCAGACGAACACUUUGAUGCCCGGAGACACCAUGGGCUCACCAACAGGGGUCCCCUAAGACCGCCAAUACAACACCACCCAGCCAGCUCCACACCCGCCAACCCAUCCCCAUUCAGGCCACCACCCGGAAACCCCCCACCGCCAGCCCGCUACAAUGGCAGGGCCAACAUACAAUGCCAUACCUGCCGGCAGUGGGGGCAUAUGUCCCGGGAGUGCACCCAGAAUCGUAGCAGGCAGGCGUGGAACCAGGUACGGCAGAAUUCCGUUCCCAGGGCGGCGGCCCAUUUCUACCACGCAGAACCUGACCAUUCGGAGCUGACAAGUAUACCAACCGAGGAACCAUUGGGGGUUCUGUACGAGGUAAUGUCUGUGCAAGCCACGGACAACCGGCAGCAUCACCGCCAAGUUGUGUUUGUGGGAGGGAAAGAAGUGCAGGGGCUGCGGGACUCGGGAGCCACCUUAACCUUAGUGGCCCCCCAUUUAAUUCCAGAUACGGCCCACACUGGCGGAUCAGUGGCAGUCCGGGUAGCAGGGGGAGCCAUGUACCGGUUACCCACGGCCAAGGUGCAUUUGAAUUGGGGUGCUGGGGAGGGGGUUGUGGAAGUGGCCAUAAUGAAAAAGCUACCGGCCGAUGUUGUUUUGGGGAAUGACUUGGGCCAGAUGACUUCUGCUUUUCUACCCCAGGCCCCGUCACAAGAGGCGCAUCCGGUAACCACCCGGCAACAGGCUCGCACCACGGCAUUCCCCGCACACUCUGAGGCUCAGGUAAGAAAUCAUGACCCCCCCUUGACAGACAUGACUUGGGACACCCCGUCCACGUUUGAAGUAGAGGUGCAGACAGACCCCACACUGCAGGUAUACCGAGAUAGGGUAGAUACGGACCAGGUGGGGCGGGAGGGAGAACAGUACAGGUGGGAGAAGAAGUUACUAUACCGGGUGGCGGAAAGGGCAAUAGGCAACUCGGUGACGCUCCAAACCAAGCAGUUAGUAGUGCCCCAGAAGUAUAGGCAGGAGUUACUAAGAAUCGCCCAUGAUAUCCCUCUGUCCGGCCAUCUAGGGAUGACCCGGACCCGGUAUCGCUUAACGCACGCAUUCUUUUGGCCCGGGAUUUCUAAAGACGUGAGGCAAUAUUGUACCUCCUGUGAUGUGUGCCAGAGGGUAGGCAAGAGGGGGGACCGCCACAAGGCAAAACUGUGUCCCCUACCUAUCAUUGAGGAACCAUUCAGCCGUGUGGCAGUGGAUAUAGUAGGGCCACUACCAAAACCCAGCCCUUCUGGGAAACGGUAUAUCCUGACCGUGGUGGAUUACGCCACCCGGUACCCCGAGGCGAUUGCCCUAACUAAUAUACACGCCGAGACCGUAGCCGAAGCCUUGAUGAAAAUAUUCUCCCGAGUAGGGUUCCCACAGGAAAUGGUCUCCGAUAGGGGGACGCAAUUCACGGCUGAGGUUACUCAGCAGUUAUGGAGGAUAUGUGGCAUUAAGCCGAUCAUUAACUCCGCCUACCACCCGCAAUCCAAUGGAUUAUGUGAGAGAUUCAACGGCACCCUAAAACAGAUGCUCCGGACAUUCGGAGAGACCCAUAAGGACUGGGAACGAUUCCUUCCCCAUCUGUUGUUUGCAUACAGAGAGGUACCCCAAGAGUCCACAGGUUUCUCCCCAUUUGAGCUAUUGUUUGGGAGAAGGGUCCGGGGGCCGUUGGAUCUCAUUAGAGAGCAUUGGGAGGGGGAGAGUAGCGCAGAUGGGACCCCAAUUGUACCCUACGUGCUGGCGUUCCGGGAUCGCCUGGAGGAAUUGACCCAGGCAGUGCGCACCAACCUCCAGGCCGCCCAACAACGACAGCGUCGUUGGUAUGACAAGGGGGCCAGAGACCGUAGUUUUCAAGUGGGACAGAAGGUGCUAAUCCUUAAACCUGUCCGCACCGAUAAACUGCAGGCCGUCUGGCAGGGCCCAUACCAGGUGGUAGAGCAGAGAUGCGAUACCACCUAUGUGAUCGGCCCAUGCUCCGGAGUAGGGAAGAGACGCAUGCUCCAUGUGAACAUGCUCAAACCCUACCACGAGCGGACGGAGGACGUGGCAGCUAUUUGCACGCCCGCCUCCGAAGAUCAGGAGAACCUGCCCCUUCCAGAUCUGUUAGAGCAGGAGGAGCAGAAGGAACCCUCCCAGGGGGUUCAACUGGGGGAGCGGCUAAGUCCUCAAGAGCGUAUCCAGGUACAAGAACUGAUAGCAACCAAGGGCGCCGCCUUUUCUAACCUACCUGGGUACACUCCACUAGCCACCCACCGAGUAGAAACCCCGGGACAGCUUCCCAUGCGACAGACUCCCUAUCGGAUUCCCGAAUCCGUGCGGGAACAUAUGAGAAAAGAAAUUGAAGAGAUGUUGCAGUUGGGGGUUAUUGAGCACUGCGAUAGCCCCUGGGCAUCGCCGGUAGUUCUGGUUCCCAAGAAAGAUGGUACCACCCGGUUCUGCGUGGACUACCGGAGGUUGAACGACAAAACUGUGUCGGACGCCUACCCGAUGCCUCGGAUAGACGAACUGCUUGAUAAGAUGGCCAGGGGUCAGUAUCUCACUACCAUAGAUUUGUGUAAGGGAUACUGGCAAAUUCCACUAGCCGAGGACGCCAUCCCUAAGUCGGCGUUUGUCACCCCGUUUGGCUUGUACCAAUUUCGAGUCAUGCCAUUCGGGAUGAAGAACGCCCCCGCGACCUUCCAGCGGAUGGUGGAUCGGCUACUGGACGGGUUCCAGGACUAUGCGUGUGCAUAUCUGGACGAUAUUGCCAUAUACAGUCAGACCUGGUCGGAGCACCUACAACACAUAGGGGCAGUAAUAGAUCGGAUCCGAGAGGCAGGGCUUACCUUGAAACCCAGCAAAUGCCACAUAGGGAUGGCAGAGGUCCAGUACUUAGGACACCGGGUUGGUAGCGGGCAGCAGAAGCCUGAGCCCGCAAAGAUUGAAGCUGUAGCCCAGUGGCCUACCCCUAGGACCAAAACCCAAGUCCUGGCUUUCCUAGGUACCGCAGGGUACUACAGAAAAUUUGUACCCAACUACAGUGCCCUGGCCAAACCCCUGACUGAUUUGACGAAGAAAAACCUGCCCCGGCAGGUCGUCUGGGCCCCAGAGUGUGAACAGGCAUUCAAUCAGCUGAAGACGGCUCUGACCAAUGCCCCUGUACUGGCUGCUCCUGAUCCAACUAAACGUUUUCUUGUUCACACAGACGCCUCAAUGUUUGGAUUGGGAGCAGUACUGAGCCAGGUCGGAGCCGAUGGCGGAGAACACCCCGUAGCAUACUUGAGUCGGAAACUGUUACCCCGAGAGGUGAGCUACGCCGCCAUAGAAAAGGAAUGCCUGGCCGUGGUGUGGGCCCUGAAAAAGCUACAGCCGUAUCUCUAUGGGCAACCCUUUUCUUUGCUCACAGAUCACAACCCGUUGGUGUGGCUAAACCGUGUGGCUGGAGACAAUGCCAGGCUGCUGCGCUGGAGUUUGGCGCUGCAGCCCUUUGACUUUACAAUUCACUACCGCCCAGGGAAACAAAACGGUAAUGCCGACGGGUUGUCCAGACAAACAGACCUUGAGAAAUGAUCUGUGAGCACUCCUCCGGACAUCCCCAAGCCGAUCCGUUGGGAUCAGACUGUGUAUGCCGGCUUGGUUCUGGGGGAGCAUUGUGGCAAACCUAGCCACUUGGACAAUAACUAGAGACUGUGCCUUUAAGGGUUGCCUACAGGUCUGGGGAGAUAUGCGGUUUAUUCUUAUGUGCGUGCUUGAUGUAUUUCUGUGGAGACUGUAAUUACCUGUUCCGCCGAAUGCCAAUGGCGGUUUGUAUGGGGAUUCUCGUUCGUUUCGCGAACGGCACUUUGGAGGGCCGUUCGUGAAGCGAACGCGAUACCCCCUAAUAGCCCACACACUUAGAGGCGUGUGGCGCUAGUUAACCGAUUGCAACAAUGUUGCAAUCGGUAAUUAGAGGCUCUCCUGGGUGGCCGUCGUUCGACUACCGACCAUGCGGCGGUCGGCCAUCUUGGAUCCCUUGUUCUUCAGCGGGUCCGUGUUGUCGAACGCAUAGCAUUACCAAUAGUUAUUCGACGGCACGAACACCGCUGAGCCUCCAGGACGUUCGGGAGUUUCAGGACCAGGUUCACUAAAAGUAAUCGGUUCUUUUCGUGUGUUUUGAAAGAAAUGUGUUUUCUGUGCGGCGUUCGGUUAUUUUAGCUGGGAUCUGAGCGGCAAUCUCACGAAUGAUGCGCCCAGACCCCAGCUAUCUACCGAACGUCCAUUCGUGUAAAUCCACCGUGUAUUGUAAAAGUUGUAGAUUUUUGUGUGAAUUGCCGGUUCUGCUGCACGAGGGGAUAAUCCCCUUAACGGUGCAUUCUGGGAGGAUGAUCCCUCUCGUGCAGCAGUGCCUGAUGGGAGAAAUAUGUUGUACUGUAAGUCCCCCAUGUAGUCCCCUCUGGGAGUGCCCCUGGGAGGGACUCAGGAAACCCCUUGCAUGGGGACUUGUAUAAAUUGUCGUGCCGAUUAAAGGAUUUCAGUUGACUCCCAAAACUGUGUCUCGUCCGGUUAUUGGGAGGUUGGGGAUAUUGCCUUGGUGUUUUCAGCGCUUGACUGUGGAUUCGUUUCUGGACCAGCGGAAUUCGUGGAUUUAAUAUUGGCAUUCCGCUACAAUAUUUAUGCUUGUUAUUUAUAAAUAAAUAAAGCUGUAGCCUGUUUAUACCACAUUUAUGUUUCUUUGUCUUAAUUGGUGGAGGAAAGGGGAGGGGGGGGGAGAGCGGGUUUGUGGGUAUAACGGGUAGCACCACACAAUAACCACUACCUGCACACAUGUAGCAUUGACUUUCCCUGUACAACACAAAACUGUUUAUGACAUCAUUUAUAUCCACUGAUAUGACACCAAAAGUAGUCAUAGCAACAUCAGAAUACUCAACUCAACUAGAGUUGUCUUGUUUACAGCUGGUGUCAAGGGCCAAGGAGGACAACCUAAAACCAGGCUAGAUGAAAUGUUUAAAAACACCAAUCUAAGGGUCCUACAUGUUCAUCAAAAUCUGGGCCAAAGAGAGACUGGAGGAUCAAGAAGAAGGGGAAGGAUAUUACGUGGAUCCAUUUUCAAGAUGGUCUGAUUUAUGAAGAGCUUAAGUGCGUUCAGGAUGCAGGAAAGAUUAAUAAGAGAAGGUAAGGAAAGUGCAUUGUGGGCAUUUCCCACCUUCUUAAUUAAGAAAAUAAUGCAGACUUUCCUUACUGCCUUGCUAUAUGGAGAAUAUAAUUAUAUAGAAUUAUGUAUGUGUGUAUAGUGAAUACUGUUUAUAUAGUAAAUAUGUAUAAAGUUAAUCUACAGUGUAUAUAUAUAUUUAUAAAAUAUAAAGUGUAUAAAUACCUAAAGUCAAUAGUGUUAAAAGUGUAUAUAUGUGUGUUUAAGAAAUAUUUAUAUAGUGUAGAGUAUAUAGUGCAUUUAUGUAUUUUGAUUGUAUAUAAAGUUUAAUGUCUGCCAAAUUCAGAGUAGGGUUUGAGGGGUGAAUAACUUUUUUUAUGAAUGAACCAAUUUCAAUGAUAUUACAAACAAUGAAUGCUCAGCGUAUGAAGAUUUGCCUGACUAUGUACGGAAGAUGACAUCUUUUAAAUCAGUUCCAUUUACCGCCUUGCAAAGUCGGACGCUUUCGAUUGCAUUGUUCAUAACAAAAGCUAAUGUUUGAGGCUCGAAUUUAUGCACGAAUAUUCUCCUUGAUCUGCUCAAGUGUACGCGGUUUGUUUAUAUACAUCAAAAACCUCAGAUAUCCACCCAGGAAGUAUUUAGGAGCUCAAAAGAUGGACAAACGUGGCAGCUUACAUUGAAGUGCCGGUGGUAAGCUCUUUGCGUUAAAAUAAUGGACCUGCCGUUUUGAGAUUUAAAUUCCACUACUUUCACUCGUAACUCCAUGAAAUUACCCACGAUGAAUUUACAAAGACUCAGUUAUAAUAUGUACCUGCAACUGAAAAAUUCAACUACUAACAAGUUAUUUACCUGUCAAAACCUACUCUUAAUAUUGGCCCACCAUUUAUAUUAUACAUAAUGUAACUAUUAAAUGUAGUAUAUAUAUAUAUAUUGUAUAUUCAGUGUAUACCUCUAUACAUUGCAGAUUGUAUAUAGAAUACACCGGAUAUAUGGUGUAUAUAUGUAUAGAUGUAUAUAGUGUAUGUAGAGUGUAUAGUGCAUUUAAGCAUAACAAGUAUAUAUAGCGUAUGUAACUAUUGAAUGUUGUAUAUAUAUUGUAUAUUCGGUGUAUACCGGUGUACAUUGCAGAUUGUAUAUAGAAUACACAGGAUAUAUGGUGUAUAUAUGUGUAAAGUGCAUGUAGAGUGUAUAGGACAUUUAAGCAUAUGAAGUAUAUACAGAGUAUAUAACUAUUGAUUGUAGUAUAUAUAUAUAUAUAUAUAUAUAUAUAUAUAUAUAUAUAUUGGGUGUAUACCUCUAUACAUUGCAGAUUGUAAAUAGAAUACACAGGAUGUAUGGUGUAUAUAUGUAUGUAGUGCAUGUAGAGCGUAUAGUGCAUUUAAGAAUAACAAGUAUAUAUAGAGUAUAUAACUAUUGAAUGUAGUGUAUAUAUAUAUAUUGUAUGUUAGGUGUAUACCUUUGUACAUUUCAUAUUGUAUAUAGAAUACACAGGAUAUAUGGUGUAUAUAUGUACAAAUGUAUAUAGUGUAUGUAGAGUGUAUAAUGCAUUUAAGCAUAACAAGUAUAUUUAGCGUAUGUAAGUAAUGAAUGUAGUAUGUAUAUAUAUUGUAUAUUCGGUGUAUACCUGUGUACAUUGCAGAUUGUAUAUAGAAUACACAGGAUAUAUGGUGUAUAGAUGUAUAUCGUGUAUGUAGAGUGUAUAGUGCAUUUAAACAUAACAAGUAUAUAUAGAGUAUAUGGCUAUUGAAUGUAGUAUAUAUAUAUUGUAUAUUCAGUGUAUACCUGUGUACAUUGCAGAUUGUAUAUAGAAUACACAGGAUAUAUGGUGUAUAUAUGUAUAGAUGUAUAUCGUGUAUGUAGAGUGUAUAGUGCAUUUAAACAUAACAAGUAUAUAUAGAGUAUAUGACUAUUGAAUGUAGUAUAUAUAUAUUGUAUAUUCAGUGUAUACCUGUGUACAUUGCAGAUUGUAUAUAGAAUACAAAGGAUAUAUAGUGUAUAUAUGUGUAAAGUGCAUUUAAGCAUAACCGGUAUACAUAGAGUAUUUAAUCUACAUAUACAUAUAGAGUAUAGAGUACAUACAAUGUAUAGAGCUUGUGUAGAGUUUUGAUAUCGAGUAUAUGACUAGAGUAAAUCAUUAGCAUAUAACAUUUAUAUAUUAUAUAUGUAUACAGUGUGUAUGUGUAAACAGUAUUUAUAAUAUAGUGUUGCAUAGUUAUAUAAUACGUAUUAUGUGCACAGUUACGGUAAGUAUUUAAUGCAUAUAGAUAGAUAGACAUAUUUUCCAUGAUAGCAAAGAGCAAUUUUUUUUUUUUUUUUUUAAAUUCUUUUGAAUUAGGGAUACAUUUUGGUGAAUGGAAUGGAGAUUUCAUAUCCAAACAACUGGACAACUGAAGAAAAAAAAUAAAAGCCAGGAUAUGAGGAAAUAAAUGACAAACGGAUCAGCAAUACCAGAAGGAGCCACCAGAACCACAGCCAAAGAAAAUCUCGCAAAAUAAAGGACUCCACUACAGCUUUAAAUGGACUGAAAUACAUCACUAAAUUUGUUGACGCACAAACAACAGUACGACUCUGGAAAGAACGUUCCAGGCACAAGUAGGGCAACAAACCAAUUUAAAGGGACACUGUAAGCACCAGAACCACUACAGCUUAAUGGAGAAGCAUUUGAUUGCUUCAUCUGUAAAGAUAAUUUUAGCCGGAGAGAAUUGGCAUCUGCGGUGAAAACAGAAACCGUCACAUUAUGGAACUAAAGCUAAGACAAUCUAAUUUCUUUUGAAAUUUAAAGUUUUUUUUUUAGGGUAGGGGGGAUGGGGAUAAAUCUAAAUAGUGAGAAAAAUGUUUGUCUCCUUAAUGUUAGAGUGUUUCUUUAAGUACAUUUUGUAGGUUUUGACCUCAUAUUAAUGUUAAUGUAUAUCUGGUGGGGAGUUUCUUGGAUGGCACAAUUGUAGGGUCACAUUAUAUUCUGGCAGAGUAGUUAAAGGUAUAGUCUAAUCCCAGUAUAAAUGUAAGAACCAGUAUUUAUUUAGAUGAAUUUGAAACACUACUACUGUAGUAAAAAAACAAAACGAAAAAAAACAAAACUCGUUUGAUAUGAAAUCAGUCCUUGGGAUACAUUUAGGAAUCUAUCAAUCAUUGCUACAUUGAUAUCAUUCAUUGCAGAUUGAUUGGGUGAGUGACUGUUAAUAGAAUGCACAUUUUGCAUGCUUGACCAUGUAGCAUUGACUUUCCCUGCACAACACAAAACUGUUUAUGACAUCAUUUAUAUCCACUGAUAUGACACCAAAAGUAGUCAUAGCAACAUCAGAAGGCUCAACUAGAGUUGUUUUGUUUACAGCUGGUGUUCACGGUCCAAGGAGGACAACCUAAAACCAGGCUAGAUGAAAUGUUUAAAAACACCAAUCCGAGGGUCCUACAUGUUCAUCAAAAUCUGGGCCAAAGAGAGACUGGAGGAUCAAGAAGAAGGGGAAGGAUAUUACGUGGAUCUAUUUUCAAGAUGGUCUGAUAAAUGAAGAGCUUAAGUGCGUUCAGGAUGCA